AUUGAACGCUGGCGGCAUGCCUUACACAUGCAAGUCGAACGGUAACAGGUCUUCGGAUGCUGACGAGUGGCGAACGGGUGAGUAAUACAUCGGAACGUGCCUAGUAGUGGGGGAUAACUACUCGAAAGAGUGGCUAAUACCGCAUGAGAUCUACGGAUGAAAGCAGGGGAUCGCAAGACCUUGUGCUACUAGAGCGGCCGAUGGCAGAUUAGGUAGUUGGUGGGAUAAAAGCUUACCAAGCCGACGAUCUGUAGCUGGUCUGAGAGGACGAUCAGCCACACUGGGACUGAGACACGGCCAGACUCCUACGGGAGGCAGCAGUGGGGAAUUUUGGACAAUGGGCGCAAGCCUGAUCCAGCAAUGCCGCGUGCAGGAUGAAGGCCAUCGGGUUGUAAACUGCUUUUGUACGGAACGAAAAGCCCCGGGUUAAUACCCUGGGGUCAUGACGGUACCGUAAGAAUAAGCACCGGCUAACUACGUGCCAGCCGCCGCAGUAA
rnacentral:rRNA from 1 species